rnacentral:tRNA from 1 species
AAUGAAUUGCCCGAUAAAAGGAUUACCUUGAUAGGGUAAAAUAUAUAGUUAGUACUAUAUUCAUUA